rnacentral:tRNA from 1 species
GCCGGGGUCGCAUAACCUGGUAUUGCACUCGACCGAAACUCGAGCUGCCCCAUAGGGCUAUCUGGGUUCAAAGUCUCGGUGCAACUCCAUUAUGCAUCGGGUGUGAAAAUCCCAGCCCCGGCG